AAAAGGUCAACAGGGUACCCAAGACUCUGGAGAAAGAGAGAGAACCAAAGAGAAAAAACGACGGAGGGAGAGAAGAAGACGGCCGGAAGGAGAACGACGGAGAGAGACGAAAGAAACGAACUCAAGGCGGAGAGACUCAGCGAAGAAGAAAGCUCUCUCCAUUCAACUAGUAAGUAGAAAAUGAAGAAAGGAGUACACCCUCAGAUGCAGUGGAUAUCCUAUGUUACCCAGAGUGGCCGAUUGAUGCAUGUUAUGAUGACCAAGAUACACCAAGUUGGUAAAGUUUAUCACUUCAGAGCAAGGCGGCAGAUGGCUCAAAGUGUUGGGCAGAUUGCCAAGUUUAAGCGGCGUUAUGAACAGAAGGAAGAGGAAAAUGAAGGAAAAUAACUUCUUUUAAAAUGGUUGGGGUGCACUGUUAGAUUCCUUUACUUUCAUAUUUGGGAUUAGCCAUGAACUGCAAUUAUGAAUAAUUUUCCUUAUUUCUAUGUUUGAUAAUCUGCUGGGUACUUGGGAACACAUCUGUUUAUCUGUUUAAUCAGUUGGUUGCUGGUGUAUUUUCAAAAAUAUUUUUCAUUUUGAUGAAUCAAGAGGGUACACUUGCAGUUGAAUGAUGAUGAUUACGCUUUGAUUUGCUAUGUUUAGUAGUUGGCUAAAUGAAAUUAUUCAGUGCUACACUAUAAUACAUGGACAUGGACACGGGACACGACACGGACAUGCAGAUAUGCAAAUUUUCAAAAAAUGGAGGAUACAACACACUGGGGCACGUUUAAUAUAUAUAAUCAAUGUAUUAUGCAGUUCAUGCCACUAAUCAAUCACCAGAUCUUAUGGCACCUUGUUGUCUCCCCAUUCCCAGCUUACCAUUUCUACUAAUCACAAUCUGCCUCGAUGUCAUCUGGUGAUGCUCAUAGAGGCAUAAACCCGGGCAGAAGAGGUCCAAGAAUCAAGAGCAUAAAGUUAGUGGCCCAAGAAAGGAGACUGAGGAUGUGACACAUGGUAGCUUUAGGAAGAAGGAAAGCAUAAGGCAGUUGCAAAUCAUGCGCAUGUGUGGAAAUCCAGCAAGUGGACACCUGGCAGCAUAGCAGGCCUAAUGAUGCCAUAUAUAAGCUGGAAAUUUGAAGAAGAAAAGACUUUCAACCAAAUUCACAAUUCAUGCCAAGUCUACGAGUAGUGUAACUUAUCAAAAGAGUAGUUCUUGUACUUAGGAAUAGCUUACCUGUAAUUCAGUGUUUGUAACCCAGU